rnacentral:lncRNA from 1 species
GCAGGAGGGAAGUGGUCACCUCCUGGGCUCCCUUCCUGCACCAGGAGGGGCAGGGCGCCCCCAGGUGUCAGGUGCCCCUAACCCGAAGCCCUCCCCUCCCCCCAGGUCUGGAGUUCGCCUACUCGGCUGCCCCCAGGUCCAUGCAGAGUGCCAUCAUGGGCCUCUUCUUCUUCUUCUCUGGCGUCGGGUCCUUCGUGGGCUCAGGGCUAUUGGCCCUGGUGUCCCUCAAAGCCAUCGGAUGGAUGAGCAGCCACACCGACUUCGGCAACAUCAACGGCUGCCACCUGAACUACUACUUCUUCCUGCUGGCCGCUGUCCAGGGGGCCACCCUCCUGCUCUUCCUCAUCGUCUCUGUGAAGUACGACCGGCAACGAUCCAGAGCAGAUGGGACCCCUGCCAGUGCCCGGGCCUGAUCUGAGAGUCGCUGUGGCCCUGGACUGAGUGUGGGACAGUGGGCAGGCCUGGGUGGGCUUGUGGGCUGGCCGCUGGCCUUCUGUGCUCGCGUGCCGUCUACACCCUUCCCCUUCCCUCUGCCCCUCGAGCUGGUGAGUGCCUUCCU